rnacentral:misc_RNA from 1 species
AGCGAGUUCUACUGGUCUUUAACAAUGACCAAUAUGUAUCUUGAACUACUUUAUAAUACACAUAUACUUGAUUAUUUUUAACAUCGAUUAAUUCUCCUUUUUAUGAUGACAACAGGAUUAAUUCAUAUCAACUUGACAUUGGGAGGAAACACUUCUUUGACCGUGCCUUCACCGUAAUUAACUCAUACUUUGACUGUGAUUUCGCUCGCCUGGACUUCGGGACACUUGUGCAUGGAUUCCAGACUUUUGGAAACAAAACUAAUAAAUUUAUAAAGUGCUAUGUGAACAAAACUGGCCAAAAAAUUCAAAAAAAGUUAGCCGCCCAAAUCUGUGGGGUUCAGCUGCAGGAUUCGUGUCAAAGGUCAAAGUUCAGGACGAUCAAAACGAUACGGAUACCUAUGAUGCACGUGGAGACUCUCCUCCAGAGGUACCCCAACCUGAAGGUCAUUCAUUUAGUGCGGGACCCACGAGCUCAGGUCAACUCAAUAGACCUAUUAGCAAAAACAACAAAAUACAACAAAGGAUUUGCCAGGCAGAAGUGUACCGCCAUGAACAAGGAUUUCUAUUUUUCAGAGCAAUACCGGAGCCGGUAUCCGGGCCGUAUCAUGCGACUUUACUACGAGGACCUCGCUUCGAACCCAAUAAAAACUUCUCGUUCUCUUUAUGACUUUACGGGCAUGAACUUUUCUUCCACUGUCCGUGACUACAUCAGCGGGAUCACCAGCACGGGGCGGGAUGGGUGCGCCAUCUGUAGCAGGCGCGCCAACUCAUCCGAGCACGUGGAAAAAUGGCGCCUAAAUUUGAAAUACUCGGAAGUGAAACUUAUUGACAAACAGUGCCAGGAAACCUAUGAACAUUACGGGUUUCUCCCAGCACGGUCCAAGGCUGAGCUAAGAGACCUUACAAUACCCCUCCGGCUCCCCCGUAGAGAAAUGGAAGCGUCCUAGUGAUCACACCUGUCAUAAAUAUUACCUUAUUUGAUCUCAGACCCCGUGUGAAUGAAUAACAUUUUGUGUUUUGUUUCAUGGCAUACAACUCAUGGAAACACAUUUACGAGAUAUUUAAGAUAAUAUGAUUCGUCGAGGCUUCAUCUGGUACUAAUGUACAAUUAAUUCCAUUGAAUCAUCAUUCAAGUAUUCAUACAAAAGAUAUAAAAAUGAAAGUGACGAUGUUUAUGGGAACUAAAAUUAAUGUAUCAACCAAGGCCUGUCAGAAAUCUGAUAUUGACAAUGUUCCCGGUU